UACAGUUUCAUUGAAAGAGCUUACUGGGAAUUGGUACUGCUGCUUGCAGUUUCUGCAGAGCUAGAAUGAGUGAGGCUGAGUUUUUAAAUAGAGAACCAUCUUCUGUGGAACCUGAGAUCCUGCCUUUGAUGCUGUAUGAAAAAUAUCAACAUGAAACCAAAGGAUUUCCUCUUGUGCUAUCUUCUAGGAGUUCUAUAACCUUGUAUUCUGAAAAAGCUGUAAUAUCUAUGUCUAAAUUACUUUUUCCAUCCAUAUUUCUAACUAUUCCUGUAUAUCUUUUGAAAAAAUUGUAUUUUCUGUAUUUUAUUGACUUUCUCCAUUGUCAAAGAUCAGGCCAUGUAUCUGUUUCUGAACUCUCCACUCUUGCUAUCAUCAACAAUACACAGCCUUAAUUACCACACUUCAUAUUAUUUUAAUUAUUUUGAUCUUUUUCCUAUGCUUUGAUUUCUUUUGCCAAAUCUGAA
rnacentral:lncRNA from 1 species